AGAGUAGCACAAAUGGUCGCAUGUCGUGAGGCAUGAGGAAAGUCCGGGCUACAUAGAGCAGGGUGCCAGAUAACGUCUGGAGAAGGUGACUUCAAGGAAAGUGCCACAGAAAAUAGACCGCCAGAAUAGCAAUGUUUUGGUCAGGGUGAAAAGGUGCGGUAAGAGCGCACCGCGCUGCACGGUAACGGGCAGUGGCAUGGUAAACCCCACCCGUAGCAAGGCCAAAUAGGGAAACAUAGGGUGCGGCUCGCAUGCGUUUUCGGGUAGGCUGCACGAACCUAUGAGCAAUCAUAGGUCUAGAUGAAUGACCAUUGCUGCCUCGGCAGUACAAAACCCGGCUUAUCGGGCUACUCUGCGC
rnacentral:RNase_P_RNA from 1 species